GCCCCCGUAGCUCAGGGGAUAGAGCACUCGCCUCCUAAGCGAGGGGUCGUGCGUUCGAAUCGCGCCGGGGGCA
rnacentral:tRNA from 1 species